CAGUAGCCACGGUAAUAUGUAGGGUGCGAGCGUUAAUCGGAAUUACUGGGCGUAAAGCGUGCGCAGGCGGUUUUGUAAGACAGGCGUGAUAUCCCCGGGCUCAACCUGGGAAUGGCGCUUGUGACUGCAAAGCUAGAGUGCGGCAGAGGGGGAUGGAAUUCCGCGUGUAGCAGUGAAAUGCGUAGAUAUGCGGAGGAACACCGAUGGCGUAGGCAAUCCCCUGGGCCUGCACUGACGCUCAUGCACGAAAGCGGGGGGAGCAAACAGGAUUAGAUACCCGGGUAGUCCCUGUCUCUUAUAC
rnacentral:rRNA from 1 species